rnacentral:tRNA from 1 species
GGCUGGGUGGCUCAGUCGGUUGAGCAUCGGACUGACUCUUGAUUUCGGCUAGGGUCACGAUCCCAGGGUUGUGGGAUCAAGCCCUGCGUCAGCCU